rnacentral:rRNA from 1 species
GAUGAACGCUAGCGGCAGGCCUAAUACAUGCAAGUCGAACGGUGUCUUCGGACAUAGUGGCGCACGGGUGCGUAACACGUAUGCAACCUACCUUACAUUGGGGGAUAGCCUUUCGAAAGGGAGAUUAAUACCGCAUAAGACAGUAGCUGGGCAUCCAGCAGCUGUUAAAGAUUUAUCGAUGUAAGAUGGGCAUGCGUCCAAUUAGUUAGUUGGCGAGGUAACGGCUCACCAAGACUUUGAUUGGUAGGGGAACUGCGAGGGCAAUCCCCCACCCUGGCACUGAGAUGCUGGCCAGCGUCCUCCGGGAGGCAGCAGUAGGGAAUAUUGGGCAAUGGACGCAAGUCUGACCCAGCCAUGCCGCGUGCAGGAUGAAGGCGUUAUGCGUUGUAAACUGAUUUUAUACAGGAAGAAACGACUCUUGCGAGAGGCAUUGGCGGUACUGUAUGAAUAAGCACCGGCUAACUCCGUGCCAGCAGCCGCGGUAAAAC